rnacentral:rRNA from 1 species
UACGAAGGGGGCUAGCGUUGCUCGGAAUCACUGGGCGUAAAGGGUGCGUAGGCGGGUCUUUAAGUCCGGGGUGAAAUCCUGGAGCUCAACUCCAGAACUGCCUUUGAUACUGAAGAUCUUGAGUUCGGGAGGGGUGAAUGGAACUGCGAGUGUAGAGGUGAAAUUCGUAGAUAUUCGCAAGAACACCAGUGGCGAAGGCGGCUCACUGGCCCGAUACUGACGCUGAGGCACGAAAGCGUGGGGAGCAAACAGG